rnacentral:rRNA from 1 species
GACGUAGGAGGCGAGCGUUGUCCGGAUUCAUUGGGCGUAAAGAGCACGCAGGCGGUUUGGCAAGUCGGACGUGAAAAUCCGGGGCUCAACCCCGGACCUGCAUCCGAAACUGCCCGACUAGAGGUAGGUAGGGGAGAUCGGAAUUCCUGGUGUAGCGGUGAAAUGCGCAGAUAUCAGGAGGAACACCGGUGGCGAAGGCGGAUCUCUGGGCCUUACCUGACGCUCAGGUGCGAGAGCUAGGGGAGCGAACAGG